CACGUAGGGUGCGAGCGUUGUCCGGAAUUAUUGGGCGUAAAGAGCUCGUAGGCGGUGUGUCGCGUCGGCCGUGAAAACCUGCAGCUUAACUGUGGGCUUGCGGUCGAUACGGGCAUCACUGGAGUUCGGCAGGGGAGACUGGAAUUCCUGGUGUAGCGGUGAAAUGCGCAGAUACCAGGAGGAACGACCGGUGGCGAAGGCGGGUCUCUGGGCCGAUAUCGACGCUGAGGAGCGAAAGCGUGGGGAGCGAACAGGAUUA
rnacentral:rRNA from 1 species